UAGAUUAGCCAUGCAUGUCUAAGUAUAAGCAAUUAUACAGCGAAACUGCGAAUGGCUCAUUAAAUCAGUUAUCGUUUAUUUGAUAGUACCUUACUACAUGGAUAACCGUGGUAAUUCUAGAGCUAAUACAUGCUGAAAACCCCGACUUCGGAAGGGGUGUAUUUAUUAGAUUAAAAGCCAAUGCCCUUCGGGGCUCACUGGUGAUUCAUGAUAACUUCUCGAAUCGCACGGCCUUGCGCCGGCGAUGGUUCAUUCAAAUUUCUGCCCUAUCAACUUUCGACGGCUGGGUCUUGGCCAGCCGUGGUGACAACGGGUAACGGAGGGUUAGGGCUCGACCCCGGAGAAAACGCCUGAGAAACGGCGUUUACAUCCAAGGAAGGCAGCAGGCGCGCAAAUUACCCAAUGCCGACACGGCGAGGUAGUGACGAGAAAUACUGAUACAGGGCUCUUUUGGGUCUUGUAAUUGGAAUGAGUACAAUUUAAAUCUCUUAACGAGGAACAAUUGGAGGGCAAGUCUGGUGCCAGCAGCCGCGGUAAUUCCAGCUCCAAUAGCGUAUAUUAAAGUUGUUGCAGUUAAAAAGCUCG
rnacentral:rRNA from 1 species